UCAGGUGUGUUUGAUCAGGGAGACAUCUCAAAUGUGCAGUGUUGGGGUUCUCCAGGACCAGGAUUGGGAGCCACUGCCUUAUGGGACACUUAUGUGUUUAAAGAGAUUUUUAAUAUCUAAUUAUCAAUAUUUCACAUACUGUACAUUGGACAGCUUUCCAUGACCUCUUGUGAGAUCUCGGCAAAAAGUCUGACGAUUUAUUCCAAAACAUGAUGCAUGAUGGGAUACACUAAGCUUUGUAUAGUGCUCCGGAGCAGUAUUGGAGAGGUUUAGUGUGUGUUAAGGACGCUGUGCUUUGGCAUUAUUAAGACCGGGGACAGUCUCGUUCACACACUGUCAUGUACACACACUCUCAAGUGGCCAAGACUGCAAGUGUGGGUAUCUGGACAGGGUCAAAGUCUUAAAAAUGAUCCCUAAACACAUCACAGUCUUAAUAAUCCAGUUUAACACUUGUAUGAUAUUGUACAAGCCCCAGGACGGUCUCAUCUGACACUAUCAAAAGAAUUCAUAUGACUAUAGCUUGUUAUUAAUUACUUGCUUUCAAUAAUGGAUUCAUUUAACAUUUAAUUAUACAGCAUCUUUACAGAGGUGUAAUGUACAAGCUGCACGUAAUUAAUAAUAUGUCCUUCCUUCUGUCUUACAGGAUUUUUUCCAGAUAAUGCUGUUCUUCUUUUUCAGGUCUAAAAUAUCGAGCUCAACAGCUAUUUUAAGAGCCAACCCUCACAAACCUUCCUAAAACCUAAAAGAGCUAUUACUGAGUCUCAGCGAAUCUUGCCAUGAUCAGCUCUUCCCAGAAGAGAAGGAAGACCAAGGAUAUGAUUUGCUCAGGAUGAGGAAUGAAGAUGGCCAUCUUGUGCUCAAACAAACAGAAGUCCUCUGAUGAUCUCAUCAGCCAAAUGAGGGGUUUUGACCAAGUGAUGCUCUUGAAAGGAGUGAAAGAAGAGGAUGUGGUAAAUUGUCUUCAGAGAAAAGCUUCUCAAAAGAUCUUAAAACAGCUUGAAGAAUGGUCUGGGAUCUUAGGACUGAGAGAUCCUCUGGCUGAGAACAAGCUACACCUCAUCAGUGCUGGAUAUCAACCACAAACUGUUUCCAGACACGAGAGAAGAAGGUCACGAUGGGGAGA